rnacentral:rRNA from 1 species
UACGUAGGGGGCAAGCGUUGUCCGGGUUUAUUGGGCGUAAAGAGCGUGUAGGCGGCCAGGUAGGUCGGUUGUGAAAACUGGAGGCUCAACCUUCAGACGUCGACCGAAACCCCCUGGCUAGAGUCCGGAAGAGGAGAGCGGAAUUCCUGGUGUAGCGGUGGAAUGCGCAGAUAUCAGGAAGAACACCCGUGGCGAAGGCGGCUCUCUGGGACGGUACUGACGCUGAGACGCGAAAGCGUGGGGAGCGAACAGG